rnacentral:rRNA from 1 species
ACUACGUAUAGGAGGUCUUACUGCCCAGUGACAAGUUUUAACGGCGCGGUAUUUUGACCGUGCGAAGGUAGCGCAAUCACUUGUCUUUUAAAUGAAGACCUGUAUGAAUGGUAGAACGAGGGCUUAACUGUCUCCCCUUUCCAGUCAAUGAAAUUGAUCUGCCCGUGCAGAAGCGGACAUAUAAAUACAAGACGAGAAGACCCUUUGGAGCUUUAGAUAAAAGAUCACCUAUGUCAAGACUAAUAAAAUAAGUCAAACCAAAUAGUAAUUGAUCCAAAUCUUUUGUUGGGGCGACCGCGGGAAAAAGAAAAGCUCCCACGAGGACUGAGACAACCCACUCAAAACCAAGAAAGACAUUUCUAAGUCACAGAAUUUCUGACCUUAAAGAUCCGGCCAACCGCCGAUCAACGGACCAAGUUACCCUAGGGAUAACAGCGCAAUCCCCUUCCAGAGUCCAUAUCGACAAGGGGGUUUACGACCUCGAUGUUGGAUCAGGACAUCCUAAUGGUGCAGCCGCCUAUUAAGGGUUCGUUUGUUCAACGAUUAAAGUCCUACGUGAUCUGAG